GACGGAGGAUGCAAGCGUUAUCCGGAAUGAUUGGGCGUAAAGCGUCCGCAGGUGGCAGUUCAAGUCUGCUGUCAAAGACCGGGGCUUAACUUCGGAAAGGCAGUGGAAACUGAACAGCUAGAGUCCGGUAGGGGAGCAUGGAAUUCCUGGUGUAGCGGUGAAAUGCGCAGAUAUCAGGAGGAACACCAGUGGCGAAGGCAGGUCUCUGGGCAUUAACUGACGCUGAGGAGCGAAAGCAUGGGGAGCGAACAGG
rnacentral:rRNA from 1 species